CCUACGGGAGGCAGCAGUAGGGAAUUUUCCACAAUGGGCGAAAGCCUGAUGGAGCAACGCCGCGUGGGUGAAGAAGGUCUUCUGAUCGUAAAACCCUGUUGUUAGAGAAGAAAGUGCGUGAGAGUAACUGUUCACGUUUCGACGGUAUCUAACCAGAAAGCCACGGCUAACUACGUGCCAGCAGCCGCGGUAAUACGUAGGUGGCAAGCGUUAUCCGGAUUUAUUGGGCGUAAAGGGAACGCAGGCGGUCUUUUAAGUCUGAUGUGAAAGCCUUCGGCUUAACCGGAGUAGUGCAUUGGAAACUGGGAGACUUGAGUGCAGAAGAGGAGAGUGGAACUCCAUGUGUAGCGGUGAAAUGCGUAGAUAUAUGGAAGAACACCAGUGGCGAAGGCGGCUCUCUGGGCUGUAACUGACGCUGAGGUUCGAAAGCGUGGGUAGCAAACAGGAUUAGAUACCCUGGUAGUC
rnacentral:rRNA from 1 species